rnacentral:rRNA from 1 species
GAGUUUGAUCAUGGCUCAGAUUGAACGCUGGCGGCAGGCCUAACACAUGCAAGUCGAGCGGAUGACGGGAGCUUGCUCCUUGAUUCAGCGGCGGACGGGUGAGUAAUGCCUAGGAAUCUGCCUGGUAGUGGGGGACAACGUUUCGAAAGGAACGCUAAUACCGCAUACGUCCUACGGGAGAAAGCAGGGGACCUUCGGGCCUUGCGCUAUCAGAUGAGCCUAGGUCGGAUUAGCUAGUUGGUGGGGUAAUGGCUCACCAAGGCGACGAUCCGUAACUGGUCUGAGAGGAUGAUCAGUCACACUGGAACUGAGACACGGUCCAGACUCCUACGGGAGGCAGCAGUGGGGAAUAUUGGACAAUGGGCGAAAGCCUGAUCCAGCCAUGCCGCGUGUGUGAAGAAGGUCUUCGGAUUGUAAAGCACUUUAAGUUGGAGGAAGGGCAGUAAGUUAAUACCUUGCUGUUUUGACGUUACCGACAGAAUAAGCACCGGCUAACUCU